GCUGCUCCCAUGACACGAACUCCUGGAGAAGCGUUAAGGCUAGCCUCCUGCCUAAAGACUAUGCGCUUAGCCCCAGAGACUCUUCUCACAUGAACUAAACUAAUUUCCCCGCCUGAUUACCUUGGACAGAUACAUGGCUCACUAACCCUCCACCCCUUCCUAAAUUAGUGGUUUUCACUGUACUUUCCCCUAGCAGCCGUGCCUCCAUUGUAGCACUCUUCCAAACGGCCCUCAGGAUCACUGUAGACCCGUGUGGAGGCUUCAGGGGCACAGCGCACCUGACAGGGAACAACCUCCAAAGGCCCUUGAACUCUGG